CACGUAGGGCGCAAGCGUUGUCCGGAUUUAUUGGGCGUAAAGAGCGUGUAGGCGGCCAAGUAGGUCCGUUGUGAAAACUGGAGGCUUAACCUCCAGCUGUCGAUGGAAACCAUUUGGCUAGAGUCCGGAAGAGGAGAGUGGAAUUCCUGGUGUAGCGGUGAAAUGCGCAGAUAUCAGGAAGAACACCCGUGGCGAAGGCGGCUCUCUGGGACGGUACUGACGCUGAGACGCGAAAGCGUGGGGAGCGAACAGG
rnacentral:rRNA from 1 species